ACUUACUUGCGUGAGUGGUGUUGUGUGGUGAGCGUGGUUAUUGUUAUGUGCGAGUGAUUUGACUGUGUGUUUGUGUGCGCGUGUGUGUAAGUGUAAGAAUAACCUAAAAAUCUACACCAUGAUCUUAUUUGAUCUGUUCAGAGCUUUACCCCGCUUUGAUUCAGAGAUGAUAAAAACUGACUCGCUAGCCUAUUAUGGCAAUGGGCGUGCAGCCGCUUUAUAGCCAGCAAGCUAGCUCGCAAACUCUGGGGAUCCACAGUAGAAAUUGUGGUUAGAAAUGAUGAAUUGAUCAGAUAUACUAGUGCCGUUUGGAUAUUUGGGUUUGCCCCCAAUUUUCAUUUUGCGGCCAAUGAGUAUAGAAGCGAUUCUGAUCUUC